CCCUCACCAGAAGCCCUACUCUCACUAUCACCAUCACCAGUCUGCCAACGACGAAUACCAAGGCAGCUUUCAGAGCUGCUUCCAUUUCGGAGACUCCUACAGGAUGGAGCAGACGGUCGGUGGUGUCCACAUCCCAGGAGAUUCUCACACCUACACUUCCCAUCAGCACAAUGGCUUCCACAUGUCGACUAGCAACACUGGCUCUGCAAGUGAGGACGUUUUUACCUCAGGCGCACAUGCCAGAAGUCAUAAGAGAUCUUAAAAAGCUGACCGUAAUUAUUUAAUCAAAAUAUAUUAAACAAACUGAACUCAUCAUGUCCGUUCCAGGCUUCAGCUUGACCCAGGAGCUGCAAGGAAACGCAGGGUGCCAGUUCUCCUCGAGCCAGAGGAGAGCAUUUUCUUCCAGGUGGGCAGCUUCGACCGCAGCCUGAGCCACAUGUCCUCCGUCUACACAGAGACAUAGAGCAACACUGGAGCAAGGCACGCUUCACCCACUUUACUACUACUACUGCUCUACAGUCCAACCCCCUCCACAAGCAUCAUCGCACGCUCACAUCUCUAAUUCCUGUUUUUUUAUCGGUCACACAGUAAAUCAAACUCAAUUAUACAUUAAGUCAGUUUGGACUACUUGCCCUACACUCCCUGAAAUUUCACCUGUCUAAUCCAGUUUUGUAAGUAGGUCAGAAUCCCCAAUUUCUGAUUCCGUUAAAGGGACACUCCACUGAUUUUACUCAUUAAGAUCAGCUAACUCGUCCUACAGGAGCACCACGCAGCCUGUAAAACACAUGUGAAAUGUUUUCUGUGGCUGUGAAAGCAGCUUUUAAAUAUGUGGACAUUCACUCUGCAGGGUUGAUAUUCACAAAGACACUGCAGUGUGAGAAUUGUAGGAUCAGAGACUAAAGUCAGGAUAUCUUGACCUGUGCUGGAUCAGUUUUGUCCACUCUGUUUUUUUUUUUAAUCUGUCUCUUGCAAGUCCCCUAAUGUAAUGAAAGUACAAUGCUAAAUCACUGGAAGGCUCCUGUAAUUAUCCUGAGACCUUUCAGAUUCGUCCUGUGAUUUGUUCUGUUUGCAACUGUUGCAAUUUUUACUAAAUUUAAAUGAAGAAAUGACACAAGUCAAAGAAAUUACUUGGAAGUCUCCUUUUCUUAUUAGUCAAGUUUUUAAAACAUCUUCCAAUCGAUAUCCAACAUAAGCAACAUAAGCUUUUGUUAUUAGAUUCAGAACCACAUUUACUGGCCAAGAACUCAUCAUGUACAGAGAAUUUCACUUGGUUACAUCGGUGCUAAGAUUUGCACACUUUCAGUACAAUCAGACAGAGCUUACACAUGCAGUUUUUUCAGCUUUAAUAUAUAAACUUCAGACACUACAAAACUCCUGAAUAGACUUUAAAUAAAAUGUUCUCUCCCUCCUCUGAUGUUUUUGUCUCUCUAAUCUACAUCUUUCAAUCUAUUAUAGACUGGAGUGUAGAGAAGAAUAUAUCAUUUUGCUGUGUUGUUUUAGCAGUGGAAAAAAAAGUUUGCAUUCCUGCAUUUUGUUGUUAAGUGUUGUUUUUGCUUUUGGAUUUAUUUCCUGAGGAGGGUCUGAGCGCAUUAAUUCUGCGAUUACGCAGAGAAACCAACCUACUUUAUUAUUGUAUGUAUAAAAUGUACAGUUUGUUUACAACAAUCAUUUGAAUGUUUGUCCUUUCUCAAUUUAAGAAAUAAAUAAUUGAAUGAUCAAUCAA